UAGCAACGCCAAGUCAGAAAUUUACUCAUAAAUCGUUGCUGUUUCUUAACAAAUUUUGACAAACAUAUAGUUGUUGCAAUAUUUUUAAAAUAUGUUACAAAUGAGUGUAAUUAUUUGAAAAGUCUAUAGCAGCUGCAACGAGUUUCUAUAAUUGUUGCAAUAUAGUUCAAAAUUUUGGGCCCAAAAGUUUCCCGGGUUGCAAAAAUAAGCGGGGCUUUCCUUUUUUCUUUUUGCGGGACUUUCCACCCCAGUCACAUACAUUGUUAUUACUAAUAUUAUUAUUUAUUAUAUCAUUACAUACAUUAUUAUGUGAAGAUCGAAGCUGAGCACUCAGGCGACUACAAGCGUGCGCGAGAAAGAGGGUGGCCAGGGAGAUUCAAGCUAGAGAAAAUCUCGAGCUCGAAGAACCCACUCAAUUGCUCGAACAACAUUCAAGCUCAUAGGGCUUCAAUCAGGGCUUGUUAAUUUGUUAGUUAGGGCUUGAGACUAUGUUAAUUUCAAGAUCGAAGAUUAUAGCUCGAACUUUCAAGAUCGAAGAACACUGAAGCUUGAAUACUUCAGCUUGAAGGUAAAACUUAAAUCUGGCAUAUUGCAAAUCUAGGGUUCUAGCUAAAUUUGGGGGAAAGGCUUGUCUAGAAUUGGGGGCACUUGAAUUAUCUUCCUCUUGCUUCUAAGGUAUAUAAUUUGUAUUUUACAAAUCUUAAUUUCCUAAUUUUGAAUUAUAAGAAUGUGUAUUUAGUUGGACGGAUUUUUGGAUUUAUAUUUGGUAUAAUGUUUUCAUGAGUGAUUGUUGUUAAUGGUGUUAAAUUGAUGAAUAAUGAUUGAGUAAGAAAAUGAAGUAGUGGAUAAUGAGUGAAUCUGUGUUUGGUAAAUCACUUACAAGGUGAGUAACUUAAUAUAAGCUUUGGUAGCAGAGUGUGCAAUAAGUAUCUAUACUUGUUGUGAAUAUAGCUCGGAAACUUGUACAGAAUCCGUAUGCCAUUAUUCUUACCACAGGCCUGAAGAGAUAUGCAAAAUCGUAUGUCUCGGUACCUUUAAACUGAUAUUUUGAAAAAAAUGGGACCAUGCAGUAUCACUUUGAGUGAUAUCCUUCUUUAACUCUGUGAAUAUGUUUGUUAACAAACAUAUCCUUCAUAUAAAUGUAUUAACCGGUCAAUUCAGCAGAAGCCUCACUGGGAUUAGGUACCUCUACUCAAACUCAGAAGACAUGGAGGAGCUUCCAAGCACUUGGAGCAAUAGCUUUUGUUUAUUCUUACUCUAUGAUUCUAUUAAAAUUCAGUUUAGGUUACUUUUAGGAAAAAUGUGUUCAGAAGAUCGAGACAAUUAAAAAGGCAGCAUAAAUUUUGAUACAUGCUGCUCCCCAAUGUUUAAAACAGAUGAAUUGGAAUCACAUGUUCAUAGGAACCAUGGCGACCUUCUUAUAGUGCAGAGACAAUGAAGGAAGAAGGAAAUGAGUGGGAGGCUCCUAGUGCCAGGAAAUCGGUGGCUUGGGAGUCAACUAUUCAAGCACCACCAAGUCGAUUCCAUAAUGCCUUCUUUUAACUUAAUAAUUUUAAUUACCUAUGUCUAAGUAGACUAAUUCUUUUGUGUAAAUUAUGCUUUGACUUAAUGGCUAAUUUAUGUAUCCGACUUAGAUUUGGAACGAGUUUGUAAGACUAUAUUGUCACGGUCAUGGUACCGCUUUUCGAUUGUUGGCUACUUGAUGCUAAUUAGAAUUCCGAAUUGACAGUUGAAAUUUGUUGACAAUUGAAAUUUGUGGCUAUAUGCCUGGCUAUUUGUAUUUGUA